rnacentral:rRNA from 1 species
GACGAACGCUGGCGGCGUGCCUAAUACAUGCAAGUAGAACGAGUGGCGAACGGGUGAGUAACGCGUAGGAAACUGCCUCAAAGCGGGGGUAAACCAUUGGGAAAGAUAGCUAAUACCGAAAACCUAUGGAUGGAACCGCGUUGUAUUAGCUAGUUGGUAAGGUAAAGGCUCACCAAGGACACGAUACAUAGCUGGUCUGAGAGGAUGACCAGCCACCCUGGAACUUAGACACGGUCCAGACUCCUACGGGAGGCAGCAGUGGGUAAUAUUGCACAAUGGGCGCAAGCCUGGUGCAGCCAUGCCGCGUGUAUGAAGAAGGCCUUCGGGUUGUAAAGUACUUUCAGCGGGGAGGCGUUACCCGCAGAAGAAGCACCGGCUAACUCCGUGCCAGCAGCCGCGGUAAUAC